ACGGCUCAGUAACACGUGGACAAUCUGCCCUGAAGAAGANAAAUAAUCCCGGGAAACUGGGGGUAAUUGCUUNUAUAAGUCCGGGGAAACUGGAAUGUUUUCCGGACGAAAAGAAUCCGUCGCUUCAGGAUGAGUCUGCCGCCCGAUUAGGUAGUUGUUGGGGUAAAAGCCCAAACAAGCCCCGUAAUCGGUACGGGUUGUGGGAGCAAGAGCCCCGGAGAUGGGAUUCUGAGACACGAAUCCAGGCCCUACGGGGCGCAGCAGGCGCGAAAACUUUACAAUGCGGGCAACCGUGAUAAGGAAACCCCGAGUGCCAGCACAGGCUGGCUGUCCGCCAGUGUAAACGACUGGCGAAGAAAGGGCCGGGCAAGACCGGUGCCAGCCGCCGCGGUAAUACCGGCGGCUCGAGUGGUGGCCGCUUUUACUGGGCUUAAAGGGUCCGUAGCUGGAUUCACAAGUCCCUUGAGAAAUCCAUCGGCUUAACUGAUGGGCGUUCAGGGGAUACUGUGGUUCUAGGGACCGGGAGAGGUGAGAGGUACUGCCGGGGUAGGAGUGAAAUCCUGUAAUCCCGGUGGGACGACCUAUGGCGAAGGCAUCUCACCAGAACGGCUCCGACAGUGAGGGACGAAAGCUGGGGGAGCAAACCGGAUUAGAUACCCGGGUAGUCCCAGCUGUAAACGAUGCGCGUUAGGUGUGUCAGUGACCACGUGUCACUGAGGUGCCGAAGGGAAACCGUGAAACGCGC
rnacentral:rRNA from 1 species